UUACCGGCUUGACAUGAACGAAAAUCCUUCGGGCACAGGUGCUGCAUGGCUGUCGNCAGNUCGUGUCGUGAGAUGUUGGGUUAAGUCCCGCAACGAGCGNAACCCUGUCUUAGUUGCCAGCAUAUGGGACUUUAGGAGACUGCCGGUGUUAACCGGAGGAAGGUGGGGANGACGUCAAGUCAUCAUGGCCCUUACGUCGGGCUACACACGUGNUACAAUGGGGUACAAGCGGCACCGNGAGGCGCGCAAUCGCAAAACCGCCCCAGUUCGGAUUGUAGUCUGCAACUCGACUACAUGAAGGUGGAAUCGNUAGUAAUCGUGAUCAGCACGCACGGUGAAUACGUUCCCGGGCCUUGUACACACCGCCCGUCACACCAUGGGAGUUGNUGACCAAA
rnacentral:rRNA from 1 species